UUUUUUCCACAACUUUCACCUAUUAAUCUGGGAUUAGUACCAUGUGAUGUAACUGCAACUUUGAUCAUUCUUAAAAGGCAAGUAUCUAAAGGACAAGAAUUAAUGGGAAGAAAAAGAAAGAUGAAUGAAUAUUCAUGCAUGCAUUACUUAAAUGUAUGUGAUGUACUAAUAUAUUACAUUUAUGGGAAG